GUGUCUUUUUCUUCUUGGUCUUUUGGAGGUUCUUUUUCUUCUUUUGGAGUCUUCUUUCGAAGUGUCUUCUUCAUGGACGAUGGAGUAGGUAAGCCAUCAUCACCAGGCCAGCCAGUCCACAAUGCAAGGACCCACCUACGCAUUAUGCUACUCGUGUAUAGUGGGGUACGCGGCGCACGUCGCGCCUGAAGGAUACUCCGCCACUGUACAAGGGAUCGUGGCCGGCAUGGACGACGGCGUCGGUAAGUUUUAGGCCUUUUAUCAUCAUCAUCAUCAUCAUCAUCAUCAGGUCAUGUGUCUAGCUGACGCGGGAACUAAUAAGAAGACACUCAGAAGAAGAAGAUACUUACAAUACAAGAAGACACUCAGAAGAAGGCACUCACUAAAGGAGGAAGGAGACACUCAAAAAUAAGAAAAAGAUAAUUAGAAGAAGAAAUCACCCAAAAUAAUAAGAAGAAGACAGAAGAAGAAGACACUCAGAAGACGAAGACACUCAGAAGAAGAAAAAGACAGUCAGAAGGAGAUGCUCGGAAUAAGGCACUCGAAAGAAGACACUCAAAAAAAGACUCAAAGGAAAACAUUCAGAAGAAGACACUCUCGAAGAAGAAAAAGUGUCUAUGUGUCGUCUUCUGAGUGUCUUCUACUUCUCGAGUGUCUUUUCUUCUUCUAAAGUGUCUUUUUCUUCUUCGUCUUUUGGAGGUUAUUUUUCUUCUUUUGGAGUCUUCUUUCGAAGUGUCUUCUUCAUGGACGAUGGAGUAGGUAAGCCAUCAUCACCAGGCCAGCCAGUCCACAAUGCAAGGACCGACCUACGCAUUAUGCUACUCGUGUAUAGUGGGGUACGCGGCGCACGUCGCGCCUGAAGGAUACUCCGCCACUGUACAAGGGAUCGUGGCCGGCAUGGACGACGGCGUCGGUAAGUUAUAGGUCUUUUAUCAUCAUCAUCAUCAGGUCAUGUGUCUAGCUGACGCGGGAACUAAUAAGAAGACACUCAGAAGAAGAAGAUACUUACAAUACAAGAAGACACUCAGAAGAAGGCACUCACUAAAGGAGGAAGGAGACACUCAAAAAUAAGAAAAAGAUAAUUAGAAGAAGAAAUCACCCAAAAUAAUAAGAAGAAGACAGAAGAAGAAGACACUCAGAAGACGAAGACACUCAGAAGAAGAAAAAGACAGUCAGAAGAAGAUGCUCGGAAUAAGGCACUCGAAAGAAGACACUCAAA